rnacentral:lncRNA from 1 species
CCUUUGGAAACUAAGAAUUACUUUUUCUAGGAUUCUUGCUGGAGGAGAUGAACUUUUAUGGUGAGUUUUUCCCCUGUAUGCCUCGCUUCAGAUAAUGUUUACCUCUGUUUAGUGCCAUUAUUGUUGUUGAACAAUUGAAGAUGUCUUAAAUGCACAUAACAUUGCUAAACCUGUAGGCUGAUGCUGUUGUUAUUAUAGAGGAGCUGUUCAAGGCCAAGGUUUUCCUUGUGAGAAUGCCAUAAUUACAAGAAAAGAUUGCCUGAAAGGUCUUUAUGGAGAUGCACUCACUCGGUCAGUUGCCCAUUGUAUUUUUUGGCCUGUUUGUUACAAUUUCUUGAGGCACAUAAUGCUGUUCGUACAACCUGCAGGUUAGAGGGCCUACCGAGGCUAGCGCGAGGUCUGCUAUGGCAUCGAUGAUGUAGGUGUCAUGACUGUGAGGACUGCUCACACUUCUCCGCUCACAAACCGUGUGGCAGAGUAAAUACUCCGGUCCACGACAAUUAGACCUUCCUCCCUCUCAGCUAUGGUAUUGCAGCGAUCUUCUUCCACCUUCAUUUGUUGAGUUGAAGCAUUAGAAGACAUCCUAUUUUUUUAGCUAUAUUUUGCAAUGUUACUGGUGAAAUAUUUUGUAUAUGGGUGAGGAUAUGGUCGCAGUGGCGUGAGCUUUUUCAUACAUUGAUUUGUUUAUGCAAACCGAUGUUUUCUGUUGUUAGGAUCAUCUGCUCUUUGAUACAUAUUUAUUACCUUCACUAUGCUCAUGGUGCUGCCAUGCUACUAUUUCUUAAUAAGCUUCUCCAUCAAACAUGUUCUAAUUAUGUCUUUCGAGCUGGGGGUUGCUCACCUGACCUUUCAUGAAAAAGAUGGCAAUCUGUUCGGUUUGCGAUCAUUUAUUUAUUUUAAUUAAGAUACCUAGGAAAGUUAGACAGACAUAAAACUUGGUCCAGGAACUCCUUGAUAUUGCAAUGGGUACUCUGUUAUCAUCUCAAUUUAUUAGUUGCUAGAGGUUGUACCUUUGACGUGGACCAUAAGUAGUCCAUAUGAGCUGAACUUUCUCCAGAGGAGAAAGUCCCGAUGCAAGCUGACAUGUUUCUUAGCUGUAAAUUUGGUUUUACCAUCGUCUGAAGAAUUUCUUCCUACCUGGUUGCUAGGCCUGACCAGUAUUCAGGCACCCUAGCCUUUUUGCCCCUUGGCAAGAAACCUUGGCAGGUGCCAUGAGCUACAGAAGCUGGAGUCCGAAACUCCUAGAGGGAUUGGAAGGUUUAUGGUGUUUGAAAUGAGAACCCAAUAAAAUUCUUUUCCAUGUCGUUGUCCAGCUGGAACUGAUAUUCUUAUUUCUCUUGUCAACACUGGAGAAGCUUAUUAAGAAACAGUGUCAGACUAAGUGGAAAUAAUUGGAAGAUUUUGCGUUAACUUAUUUCUCACUUGACCCCAUCUAUCCAGGUGCCACAAAGUGCCCAGGCAGCAGGAAGCACAUAUAAAACCAUUGAUGCUCUUUUCCGUAGGAGAAAUAAGUGAACGGGCAAUCUUUUCAUCUCUGUAUAAAUUCAGAUGUGAUUAGCCAGGUCCAGAAGGUUUGGUCUAUUUCUCACUUAAUCCCAUUUGUUCCUCUUUAGAUAGUACUUUUUCUUUGAGUUCAUAUGCGAUUAGCCUUCAUGAUGCAUGGAUGCAAAUUUUGCAGUUGGAUUCUUGAUGUGCACAUAAAUACGUUGAGAAGAUGGAACUAGAAUUAAGCUUCCGUCCAUCUGCAGGUUAGAAUAUGCCGUUAAUAGCAAAAGAUCCUUCUCAAUGUUACAUGUGCUUGAGCUGCUAUUUUGAAACAUAGCUGUUGAGGUGCUUAUCUUUUAGUUUGAGUUUUGUUAAUAUGGUCUGAAUUUAUCAUAAUUAUACUAUUUUAAGACGAAUAUAAAUUGCUGGAGUUAAUAUAUGUCAUGACCCACUGAUCAUGAACAACAAUCAACUCCUAGCCAUGCCAAAACAAAGCUAAAGAUGGAUAUUGCAAAGAAAGGUAUGACAUGAUAACCAAUACGGACAACAACAAGAUAGUAUAAUCCUUCAACAUAAGUAAAACAUAAGAUGGGGUCAACAAGCAUAUGCUUGCCUUGCUGGUCAAUGUCCUGAUGAAGCUGCGGAUCGAACUCAUAACACCCCUCGUUGCCGGACUCUAUUGAAACGACGAAGAAACCUUGGAAAAGAAGCAAACGGAGAAAAAUCAGUAUUCAUUAAUUUCCAAAAUGUGUAGAGCGCAUGAAUUGUAUGAGAUGUCAUGCAGAAAGUUGAAAAUGAAGCUACUGAAAUUGGCAACAAAAAUUUUCUUGGGCGUCUUAGAAUGCAAGUUGUGAAUUUUAAAAGAUUUAAAGACAUUUUGUUAAAGUAAAUCAUCUUUUAGACUGACUAAGCUUGAUUUUGUUAUGGAUUUUACAACUUUGAGCACUUUUAUGUGAUUUUCCUCAUAAAUCAAAUGUUAGAGUGAAAACUUUUAUAUAUAGGGAAGUCCAGCCUUAGUCUGACACUGUGACAAGCAAGUAAAUUAAACAGUACUGAAUAUGCCAUCUUUCUUCAUAGCUAAUCAAUCUCUCUUUCUCUCAUCUGCACGCAGGUCACGGCUAACGUCAUCAAGCAUCAACAUCAAGAAACAAGCAGCCAACAGAAUGCAGCAAAGCAGCUAGCGGCAGCAAGCAGCAAACAACAUCAGCAGCAUGCAGCCAGCAACAUGCAGAGGCGAUUUCUCACCUUGCUGUUAGUGCCGAGGUCGGGCGGAGCAGAGCAACGAGCUCCACACAGUGGCAAUGAUGGUCAGCGUCGAGGAAGAAUUAGGAGGGACCCAUGGCUUCGAAUGCCGAGGUCGGGCGGAGCAGAGCAACGAGCACCACACAGCGGCAAUGACGGUCAGCGUUGAGGAAUAAGUAGGAGGGACCCAUGGCGUGGUCCAGGGGAGACGUGGACAACGCGGAGCCCAUCACGGUCUGUCGAGCUGUUCGGUGAGGAGGAUGACCGCAGCGGCGACCGACGGAACCGAAGAAGGCAGCCUCGGUCCAAGAGGUUCCUGCGCGCUGGCACCCGGAAUCACCAUUAAAGGGACGACAGGAGCAACAUUAAUGAAGCUAGGAGUCUACUAGGAGCAAGAAUGCACCAGAAAUACGAGGUGGUUCCCGGCGGUGUCCAGCGGGCAUGCAUGUCAGAGCCAGAGGUGUGGACGUCGAUCCCGACCGAGGGCUGGUGUAUCCGGCCGAUUCAUUCGGUUGACGUUGCAACAGCGACUGGCAUCCCCGGCGAGCUGGACGAGAAAGGGGAUCUAGGAGGGAAAUGAAGUGAGGGAAGCAACGGGGCAGAGUAGGAGAAAAGGUGAAGGGGCAGGGGUUUGCCGGCGCGUGUCCCUGCGAGAUGGUGAUGUGGGCGUGGUGGUUCAGUAGUGGGGGCCGGUGGCAGCUGUCUUCCACCAUGUAUGCUGAAGGCAUUCCAUCUAAAACAACAUUGAGUGCGUGCUUAGAUCAGGUAAGACAAUGGCAAGAAUAAAUCCACCUAUCUGACUUUCCUCUAGGCAUUUCAAUUUGUCAGGAGCUGAAAUAUUGUGACCCGUGUUCAUUUAUGUGUUGCUAACUUUACAAGCGGCAAUCACACACUGCUUACACCAUGUACUAUUGGAUUGACGCACUUCCUUGAGCUCUAUGCGGUGCACCUGUCAAAGUUGGUAAAUGAAGCGGUAAGUUAUUCUUUUUUUCGGG